rnacentral:rRNA from 1 species
UACGUAGGUGGCAAGCGUUAUCCGGAAUUAUUGGGCGUAAAGGGUGCGUAGGCGGUUUAGCAAGUCUAAGGUGAAAGUUCGGGGCUUAACUCCGGAUUGCCUUAGAAACUAUUAGACUAGAGUACAGGAGGGGGCAAUGGAAUUCCAUGUGUAGCGGUAAAAUGCGUAGAUAUAUGGAGGAACACCAGUGGCGAAGGCGGUUGCCUGGCCUGUUACUGACGCUGAUGCACGAAAGCGUGGGGAGCAAAUAGG